rnacentral:rRNA from 1 species
CCUACGGGGGGCAGCAGUGAGGAAUAUUGGUCAAUGGACGAGAGUCUGAACCAGCCAAGUAGCGUGAAGGAUGACUGCCCUAUGGGUUGUAAACUUCUUUUAUAUGGGAAUAAAACAGGGUAUGCAUACCCUCUUGUAUGUACCAUACGAAUAAGGAUCGGCUAACUCCGUGCCAGCAGCCGCGGUAAUACGGAGGAUCCGAGCGUUAUCCGGAUUUAUUGGGUUUAAAGGGAGCGUAGGUGGAUUGUUAAGUCAGUUGUGAAAGUUUGCGGCUCAACCGUAGAAUUGCAGUUGAAACUGGCAGUCUUGAGUACAGUAGAGGUGGGCAGAAUGCGUGGUGUAGCGGUGAAAUGCUUAGAUAUCACGAAGAACUCCGAUUGCGAAGGCAGCUCACUGGACUACAACUGACACUGAGGCUCGAAAGUGUGGGUAGCAAACAGGAUUAGAUACCCUUGUAGUC